GUUUUAAUAAUUUAAAUAAAAUAUUGGUCUUGUAAACCAACAAUAAGAGUAAUCUUUUAAAACA
rnacentral:tRNA from 1 species